rnacentral:rRNA from 1 species
UUAAAGGAAUUGACGGGUCCCCGCACAAGCAGCGGAGCGUGUGGUUUAAUUCGUUGCUACACGAAGAACCUUACCUGGGUUUGACAUAGCAGUGGUAGGGAGCGAAAGUGGACCGACCCUUCGGGGAGCUGUUACAGGUGUUGCAUGGCUGUCGUCAGCUCGUGUCGUGAGAUGUUCGGUUAAGUCCGCUAACGAGCGCAACCCUCGCUGUGUGUUACAAGUGUCACACAGGACCGCCGGUCUUAAGCCGGAGGAAGGUGGGGAUGACGUCAAGUCAGCAUGGCCUUUAUGUCCAGGGCUACACACACGCUACAAUGGUCAGCACAAUAGGUAGCCAAGCCGCGAGGUGGAGCCAAUCCUCAAAGCUGGCCUCAGUUCAGAUCGCAGGCUGCAACCCGCCUGCGUGAAGCCGGAGUUGCUAGUAACCGCAGGUCAGCUAUACUGCGGUGAAUACGUUCCCGGGGCUU